rnacentral:ncRNA from 2 species
UGCUUAUAUUCAAGCAACAGAAUUUAAAUAAAUGUUGAUCAGAACCGGGAAAAAGGUGCAAAGCCUUUACAGACCCUAGCUACUGUGAUGUGGACGAACGCAAUAAGACCCACUGAUAAUUCUUAUCGGGAAGGGCUGCUAGUAGGAUGAAACUAAGUCAGAAGACCGGCUGAUCAACUACAUGUUCG